CGAGAAAUUUUUCCUUCGGGGAAAAGAGUAAAGUGGCGCACGGGUGAGUAACGCGUAGAUAAUCUACCCUGGUGUCUGGGAUAACAUCGCGAAAGCGUUGCUAAUACCUGAUACGCUCCUUCGGGAGGAAAGAUGGCCUCUGCUUGCAAGCUAUCGCAUUGGGAUGAGUCUGCGUACCAUUAGCUAGUUGGUAGGGUAAAGGCCUACCAAGGCAACGAUGGUUAGCGGGUCUGAGAGGAUGAUCCGCCACACUGGAACUGGAACACGGACCAGACUCCUACGGGAGGCAGCAGUGAGGAAUUUUGCGCAAUGGGGGAAACCCUGACGCAGCGACGCCGCGUGGGUGAUGAAGGCUUUCGAGUCGUAAAGCCCUGUCAAGUGGGAAGAAGUGUGCAUAUGCUAAUACCGUAUGCAUUUGACGGUACCACUAAAGGAAGCACCGGCUAACUCCGUGCCAGCAGCCGCGGUAAUACGGAGGGUGCAAGCGUUGUUCGGAAUUACUGGGCGUAAAGGGAGCGUAGGCGGCGUAACAAGUCAGGUGUGAAAGUCCAGGGCUUAACCCUGGAAGUGCAUCUGAAACUGUUAUGCUUGAGUAUCGGAGAGGAAAGUGGAAUUCCCGGUGUAGAGGUGAAAUUCGUAGAUAUCGGGAGGAACACCUGAAGCGAAGGCGACUUUCUGGACGAAUACUGACGCUGAGGCGCGAAAGCGUGGGGAGCAAACAGGAUUAGAUACCCUGGUAGUCCACAGCUGUAAACGAUGUGCACUAGAUGUCGGGGGAGUUGACCCCUUCGGUGUCGGAGCUAACGCAUUAAGUGCACCGCCUGGGGAGUACGGUCGCAAGAUUAAAACU
rnacentral:rRNA from 1 species